UACGGAGGGUGCGAGCGUUAAUCGGAAUUACUGGGCGUAAAGCGUGCGCAGGCGGUUUUGUAAGUCUGUCGUGAAAUCCCCGGGCUCAACCUGGGAAUUGCGAUGGAGACUGCAAGGCUAGAAUCUGGCAGAGGGGGGUAGAAUUCCACGUGUAGCAGUGAAAUGCGUAGAGAUGUGGAGGAACACCGAUGGCGAAGGCAGCCCCCUGGGUCAAGAUUGACGCUCAUGCACGAAAGCGUGGGGAGCAAACAGG
rnacentral:rRNA from 1 species